UCGAAUAUUCACGUCGUCAGACAAAAAUUCAAUAAGAUUACAUUAAAUUUUUUCAAUUCUCCUAUUCGCUACCUUAUGCAAAAUUUUCAUACAAGGUUGGGUUAAAAUAUAUGUAUACGGAUAAAAGUCAGCAGCAGACACGCGCCACAUUAAAACAUUCACUUAUAAAUAUAAAUUUAUAUGCUGGCAAGUGGCCAUCCUAUUGCUAUUAAACAUCUAAAAUAUAUUGCCUGCUGCAGUAACGCUCAGUUGAGGAACGGUUGGUUAUAUGCACAUAAAUACAUAUAUCUGCUGAAGCAGGUGAAUAUCCUUUCUUUGUUGUCAACUCGGCUACCUCAAAACGACACACUGACCUUUGUCUAUUUUGUAAUUAUACUAUAUACAUACAUACAUACACAUGUAUGUGAGUAUGUUCGUUUAUAUCGUGCUGAGCAGUACGCGCCUAUUUCAGGGGUGCGCCGCAAACGCACAGAGCAAAGCAGCUGUGCAAUCGACCACUGGUCGAUGACCAGACAACGGAUGGUAAGGAUUCUUGUUCGAGUUCGCAACAGGAGGUAAUUGUAUGAGUAAUUAUGAGCAGGAAAUGGCAUUAGAGUGUUCGCUAUGCAACUGCCAGUAAGGAUUAGCCAGUAAUAAAAUUCAGAGAAU